rnacentral:tRNA from 1 species
GGCAGUGUAGCAUAGUGGUUAAGGAGCUGGACUCGUAACCAAAAGGUUACGGGUUCGAUCCACGCUGGGGACA